AUCCAGAUGACGAGCCCCAAAUAUGACGAAACGCGCGUUCUAGAU
rfam:Schistosoma rodhaini strain Burundi genome assembly, scaffold: SROB_scaffold0004953